GACGAACGCUGGCGGCGUGCUUAACACAUGCAAGUCGAACGGAAAGGCCCUGCUUUUGUGGGGUGCUCGAGUGGCGAACGGGUGAGUAACACGUGAGUAACCUGCCCUUGACUUUGGGAUAACUUCAGGAAACUGGGGCUCAUACCGGAUAGGAGCUCCUGCUGCAUGGUGGGGGUUGGAAAGUUUCGGCGGUUGGGGAUGGACUCGCGGCUUAUCAGCUUGUUGGUGGGGUAGUGGCUUACCAAGGCUUUGACGGGUAGCCGGCCUGAGAGGGUGACCGGCCACAAUGGGACUGAGAGACGGCGCAGUCUCCUACGGGAGGCAGCAGUGGGGAAUAUUGCACAAUGGGCGGAAGCCUGAGGCAGCAACGCCGCGUGCGGGAUGACGGCUUUCGGGGUGUAAACCGAUGUCGCCGGUGACGAAGAGUGAGUGACGGUAAUGGGUAAAGAAGCAACGGCUAACUACGUG
rnacentral:rRNA from 1 species